UUGGAUAUAAGAUCAUUCUUCUUCCUUACAUUGAAUCGAACCAUUGGACACUGAUUGCAAUAUGUUUGUCACGUAACGAAGUCUACCACUUUGAUUCUUUGCGUAAAGGAACAAUACGGUCCUUACUAGUCAAAUCAUUGUUAAAUAGUGUGAUGAAGAAGCGUAGUGCAUCUGGACUUCGACAAGGAAAACCUCC